rnacentral:rRNA from 1 species
AUUGAACGCUGGCGGCAGGCCUAACACAUGCAAGUCGAACGGUAACAUUUCUUGCUUGCAGGAAGAUGACGAGUGGCGGACGGGUGAGUAAUACUUAGGAACAUGCCUUUGGGUGGGGGAUAACUAUUGGAAACGAUAGCUAAUACCGCAUGAUGUCUUUGGACCAAAGUGGGGACUUGUUCCUCACGCCCAGAGAGUGGCCUAAGCGAGAUUAGCUUGUUGGUGAGGUAAAGGCUCACCAAGGCGACGAUCUCUAGCUGUUCUGAGAGGAAGAUCAGCCACACUGGAACUGAGACACGGUCCAG